CUUGGCGAAUUUCUGGGGGUUGCGAAUCUCAAAGGUUGACGGGGUCGUCGCAAAGGAAGAGGAAUAAAGAAAAAAGAUUGGUCGAGUCCAGAAAUAGCGAGUAGGAGCGGCUGCGAGACAAAAGCAGCGCGAGAUUCAAGCCUGGCCUACUUGCUGUCUUUGCAACGGGGAACAGGACGAAUCGAAAAGAAUCUCUCUUCAUCUGUUCUUACACCGACCAACUUGAAUGGAUCGCGUUACAUCGACAGCAGUAGGAUGAAUUUCGAAAUAUUUCAUUGGAAAUUGAAUGGACCCUCUUGGAGUAGGUUACAUGUAAUCGAGAUGUUUUCGAAACCGCGACAAGACGAUUGAAAUAACUAAUUUGCGAUAUCUCGGUGAAUCGAUAACGAUGAAAAUAUUAUGGUUACUGGUUGAAUGCAAAAGCAAUAAGUCGGUUCACGUAACAGAGAGCUCGUGACACGCGAGAAAGAUAACCGAGAAAACGGAGGCUGGCAUUGCCACCGCUGACUCGAAAAAGUAGGUUUCUGGAGCAGACCGAGAGCACGGAGCAUGGCCGAGGAGGCGGCAUCGAAGCUGCAUCGCGGAACAGAGACGAGAAGCGAUAAUAAAGUGUAACGCGAACCCGCGGGCCGAGAAUUUCGCAAGGGCAUACUCGUGGUUUCUUCGAUCGCCGGACAAAAUCGGCCAAGGGGAACGGAGAAGGUCCAUACCUCGACGAUUCUUUCGAUGAAAGGUAGGCUGGCACGUGAGUAAGGGAAACGUGAGGGUUACACAACAUCACGCACGAGAAUUACGCGCGUACGACCCAUCGACAGGUGCUGCUGCGAUCAAGCACGACCACCGAUAUAUCACUUAUCGAUUCGAGGACUCGAGUGAACGAGAUAAGACAACUCAUCCAUCGAAUCAAAGUCUGAUGCAAAACAAACGAUCAGAAGGCUGGAAGGAAAUUUGGAUAAAUUCUAAACAGAGCUGAUUCGAUCGAUCGACUAAUUAGAAUAUUAACGAAGCUUGGAUUUAUACCGCGUCGAUGGUUGUUGCAUUCAUCGCCAGAGGGACAUCCGCUGCAACUUUCUCGCAAGUCCUCGCUCAACGAUCCGUUACUAAUUUUUAUGCAAAUUCUUUAAAUAAACUUAAAUCAUCCUACUGUAGGGUGUGCUAAUAUCCUCGCGUCGAAGCUAGGCGAUAAAAUGAUAACAUAAAGCAGAUGUACCGUUGAAAAAGAAAGAAAAAUUAUUGAUAAUAGCUUCUGACAAGAGUUUCCAAUAUAUGUAUAGGUGGCAAGUAAGGUCAAACCCAUGGACGGCAUGGUACUUAGUUACCCCGACCUUGACCGGAUACGAAGAGAAUAGUUUUCCUUAAAAUAAGAUAUUGUAAUUUCUUCUAACAUCGUUGUACCGACCGAUCUAUCCGAAGCUAUUACGAGGAAAAAUUUAAGGCGGUGACCCGAAAUUAGCGAAAGGACGACAUUUGCGUUCCGACGCGACGACUUAACAACCCGCGUCGGGACGUAACUACUGAUUCACUUAGGCAAACAGAGUUCGUGCGAGCUGCGAGGAACGUGAGCAUGUAACUUCAUAAAUAUUACAAAGCGUCGAUCAGCGCGGACUGCGAGUCGAUAAACGGCUGAAUGCGGGCGUCAGACGAUUAUCGUCGCCUGAUAAGGAUGUUUGAAGUGACAUUAGACAGCGUCUGGCUUGCUAUAGCUCGUUAAUUGCGAAAUCGAUUUUGUUUAUCGCCUCGUUCAAACCCGUCCUUGUUAACACGUUCAUUGUUGCGUUGAAAACGUAGCAAGGUACGCUUCGACGCUUUCGUACCUCGUCAUCCUUUUCUAUCGCGUUUUUACGCGGUUUAGGAAGAAAUUUACAGCUCGCAUUAAUGAGAGAAAUUUUCCGUCAGAAGCGAAGAGUUUGAAUCGUUUAGGGGACUAGGGGAGCGAAAAAACGAAGGUGUCGACGGGAUAGCUAACCUAUUUUCACAACGAUUCAGGGAUCGCCGUCGCGUCGACGAGAUGACGGAGCAAGUAUGAGAAAGGAACGGCGAAAAGGAGUAACAGGAGGUAAAAAUUCCGGAGGAAUCGAAUGGAAACGAAACGAAAGCUCGGCCCAAUUACGCGUGCUAAAGAUCGAAUAGGGAGGAGAGAGGAAUGGAAAGAAGGCCGGAAAUAGGUAUCGUCCGAACGUGUACGACUUCCUUUUAUGUCGUCCUGGCCAUCGUAGUAUUUAUGUAACAAUAGAAUUAGACGGUGAGUAGACCAGUGGGACAUGGAAUCGAAUAGUAAUCCGAAAUAGACCAGCCAUCUCGCCUUUCUCGCCGAAUCGAAUUCGAUCUUGAAAUAAACGCAUCGAUCGAACGAUUUCCAAUGGUAGAAGAGAAAGAAUUUACGACUCACCCUUACGUUGCCGCUGGUGUACUUCUAUCUGUAACAAAAAGAAAAGAUCGAUGAGCUUUGUUUUCGAUAAAUUGUCGCACACGUAAUCACGCGUUGCCCGAAUAAUUCUCAGAAACAGAAUGUUUGUUAACGGUUGUUCGUAGAAAUUUGGCGAAACAGGAAUUUCCUAA